UACGGAGGGUGCAAGCGUUAUCCGGAUUUACUGGGUUUAAAGGGUGCGUAGGCGGCACUAUAAGUCAGGGGUGAAAGCCUACGGCUUAACCGUAGAAAUGCCUUUGAUACUGUAGUGCUUGAAUUAGAUUGAGGUCGGCGGAAUGUGGCAUGUAGCGGUGAAAUGCAUAGAUAUGCCAUAGAACACCAAUUGCGAAGGCAGCUGACUAAGUCUAGAUUGACGCUGAGGCACGAAAGCGUGGGGAGCAAACAGG
rnacentral:rRNA from 1 species